GACGAACGCUGGCGGCGUGCCUAAUACAUGCAAGUCGAGCGGACCAAAGGGAGCUUGCUCCUGGAGGUCAGCGGCGAACGGGUGAGUAACACGUGGGCAACCUGCCUGUAAGACUGGGAUAACAUCGAGAAAUCGGUGCUAAUACCGGAUAAUAAAAAGAACUGCAUGGUUCUUUUUUGAAAGAUGGUUUCGGCUAUCACUUACAGAUGGGCCCGCGGCGCAUUAGCUAGUUGGUGAGGUAACGGCUCACCAAGGCAACGAUGCGUAGCCGACCUGAGAGGGUGAUCGGCCACACUGGGACUGAGACACGGCCCAGACUCCUACGGGAGGCAGCAGUAGGGAAUCUUCCGCAAUGGACGAAAGUCUGACGGAGCAACGCCGCGUGAGUGAUGAAGGUUUUCGGAUCGUAAAACUCUGUUGUUAGGGAAGAACAAGUGCCGUUCGAAAGGGCGGCACCUUGACGAUACCUAACGAGAAAGCCACGGCUAACUACGUGCCAGCAGCCGACGG
rnacentral:rRNA from 1 species